UCAGAGCCAGCGUCACUCUGUGUGUCUCAUAACUAGCUCGUGAAUCCCAAUCGUGAUUAUCCCGUCGAACAGCUCUCUUGGAUGUAAACUUAAAUGGAAUAAUUUCACAUCGUGUGGACGAACAACACUUGGAAUAAAGCAAUGAUCAUGAUGAAUAAAGUCUUUUUUCCUGGAGCGAUCUCUCUCUCCUCACGGCGCAAAAACACAGUGGAACUACAGCCCAGUGAAGAGCGGUUUUAAAGUCUUUAUCCACAAGGGUCGGAUCAGCUCCCUUCUGUAACAGGGCCUGGACGUGCUCCGGUCGAUUGUGAAAGGACGCCCAGUGAAGAGCUGUCAUACCCUGACCAAGACAGAAGACCUUUAUUAACCCAUUGGAGCCAUGUGGAUUACUUCUGUGAUGGAUGGAUGGAUGGAUGGAUGGAUGCACUUUUUUGGGCUUCAAAUUCAGAAGUUGUCCCCUG